rnacentral:rRNA from 1 species
GAUGAACGCUAGCUACAGGCUUAACACAUGCAAGUCGAGGGGCAGCACAGUGUAGCAAUACACGGGUGGCGACCGGCGCACGGGUGCGUAACGCGUAUCCAACCUUCCCGUUACUCUUGGAUAGCCUUCCGAAAGGGAGAUUAAUACAAGAUGGUAUUCAAAUUCCGCAUGUUAUUUGAAUUAAAGAUUUAUCGGUAACGGAUGGGGAUGCGUGACAUUAGAUAGUAGGCGGGGUAACGGCCCACCUAGUCUACGAUGUCUAGGGGUUCUGAGAGGAAGGUCCCCCACACUGGAACUGAGACACGGUCCAGACUCCUACGGGAGGCAGCAGUGAGGAAUAUUGGUCAAUGGUCGGAAGACUGAACCAGCCAAGUAGCGUGAAGGAUGAAGGUUCUAUGGAUUGUAAACUUCUUUUAUACGGGAAUAAAACCUCCACGUGUGGGAGCUUGUAUGUACCGUAUGAAUAAGCAUCGGCUAACUCCGUG